GGUACCAUGGCUUAGUUGGUUAAAGUGUUUACCUAGUAAACAAAGUCCUGGGUUCAAAUCCCAGUACUACCU
rnacentral:tRNA from 1 species